rnacentral:lncRNA from 1 species
CUUGGCGUCUUUGCCCUUGUCGUCGGCGUCCUUGUUCUUCUUGGCGUCGCCGCCGUCGUCCUUGGCCUUCUUGGGAGGGUCCUUGGGGGAGAUGAAGUCGACCUUCUUCUUGGUCUUGACCUCCAGAAACUCCUUCAGCUUCCAUGGGUCCACCUUGCCCACCACUUUCAGCUUGUUGUGCGCCGCGUCCACGCUGACCCCUUCCACCCCUGUGGCACGCGAUCGAUGAGGUGAUCAAUGGUCAGUCCUUGCCCCUCAAAGAGCAAACAUGAUCGAUGCUAAGAACCUGGGAGGAAUUCCUUCAGGAAUCGAAGUUCAAAUCGAAUGUUUGACGAACCCAAAUUGGUAGAUUCUACCGAAAAGAACAAAAAAGAAUCGGUUUUGCUUCGUAGAAAAGGAAAAUUGCGAUUACCCUAAAUUUUCCUCCACCCUGUUUCCUCAUCCAACUUGUGAUUCAUGCCAUCGGGAAUUGAUGGGCUAAAGUUGGAUUAAAAGGCUUCAAAGGUCAAAUUUUGGAAAACGAGAACGAAGGUGAACUACACAAACGAGAGGAUCGAAUCAACGUCAAAUCCUAGAACGAAAAAAGAGCGAGCGACAGAGGAGGGGAGGGGAAGAAGGGUAGUACCUUCGAGGCCCUUGACGAGCUUGCGGACCUUGAGGGCGCAGCCCUCGCAGUGCAUGUCGAGCUUCACCUCCACGGGCGUCGGUCCCUCCUCCUUCUUCUUCUCCCCUCCUCCUCCCUUUUCCUUCUUCUCAUCGGCUCCCUUCUUCUCCCCGUCUC